rfam:Oryza barthii chromosome 2, whole genome shotgun sequence.
AUUAAGUGUAGUUUUACACUAUUCAUGCUCAACAUUUGACUGUUCAUCUUAUUUGAAAUAUUUUUAUGAUUAAUAUUUUUAUUGUUAUUAGAUAAUAAAACAUGAAUAGUGCUUUAUGUGUGACUAUUUUUUUUAAUUUUUUUAUAAACUUUUCGAAUAAGACGGACGGUUAAACGUUGGACACAGAUUUCUACGGCUGCAUUUAUU